CUGUGGUAAAUAGUAAAUAGGAUGGAUAACAUGGAGAAGACAUUGCAAAAUUGGUCACCGACAUCAUUAACAAGUUCUUGUGAAAUUGCAAGAAAAUCGAAGAAGUCGGUUCCGCUUGUAGUACGAUCUGAAGUGAGAAAGACCUACAAACUGUUGCUAGAUGAUGAAGACAACGAAUUCAGUGGAUUUGACUUCGAUCCUAGUGUACCGUUUAAAGGUCCAACAAAUGAAGCUGUUGUAAGCACGCUUUCCAAGGAAGUCAUGGCUAAUAAUCCUCAAUUUCAAGCACAUGACAUUCUAAUACA